UUUUUUUCAUUUUCUCGAGGCUUUACUGUUGUUAGUGAUGAUUUGAGAAGUAAUUCGCUGGAGACCGGAGACUUUGGUCAUUGAUGGUUAGUAGCAGACUUUCAACAUCGUCGCUGACACUGUGAUGUUGUCUGAUCUGGAAAGUGAGACGGAGCUGACUGUUAGCAAGGACCUAACUUGUUAGUGAGUUGACAGUUCAGUGAUGAACGUAUAUGACCCCGAAGAGAAACCCAAUCAUCAGUAGCACUUCUGUUUGGCCUACGAAAAUUUGUUUGGUCGUUUUUCACCGCCGUGUUAACGCCAAACAAAUUUUCGUACUUUUAGUGGGGAAUGAUGUAACGAGUACAUAUGGAUUAAAAGUACAGUCGGUAUGAUUGGGAAGUAAAAUACCUAAACUGUAUUAAACGUACACGCCGCAGAGUAGAGCUUUCUUACUGAGUGACCUUUGCUCAUUCCUUUGGUCACUCAAAUGCCGAGUACCUUUUGCGCCAGUUAUCCCAAAAGCUUUCCGUUCAACCAGAUGGCCGAGUGGUUUAAACUCUGCUCUUUAGGUGAGCCAGCACAGGAGAUCGGGGAGAGCCAGCCGCACGAAUCUCGCGAAGAGUUUCGCGUUUUCGCGGUUCGGGGGUGAUGAGAUCGUGGAGGUGAUAAAGCGGUCUAGGGGAAUGACAAGCUAUUGUCCAGGGUUGGUAACCGUGAGAGGGAACGGAAUUCGCAACUGAAGCCUCUCAUAAGUCUCGGCGUUCUGAUGACGCGCCCAACGGUUCACUUUUAUCAGUUCCGCGGAAGAGGCACCAGUGGCCCUCGAUUGUGCGCGUCUCGUGAUUAAAUUCUAGUUAGCGAGAUUAGUAGUUCGAACUAGUGCCGUGUCGUGUGCGUGUGUGAAAUUCUGCCGUGCAUGUGCGUUCCAGAAAUCCUGCUCUGCAUCCACCGCCACGCUCGUCACAGACGGCCCGAACUACCGGGGACCAGCUACCGCUUCGAACCGGCCGCAACGCCCACGCCGCCGAAGGCCAGCGCUCGCCAAACCGCGCUCGGCAGCGGAACUGUACGGCCACGCCGUAACAGGACAGCAGCAACCGUCACCGCAGCGUCCUUGAAUUAACCGCCAUCGCGAUCAGCAUCCGCCAUCGCGUUCGCCAACCGCCACCAACCUAACCUGGAAGGUUAGGAAACCACGUGAGUGAAGAGGGAGAGAAGUCCGGCCUCGAAGGCGGACACGCGAACCGGCAACCAACAACCAGCUAACCAGCGUUCUCGCCGAGCAGCAGCAGCAGAUCUUCAAAAGUAGGUCGUCGA